rfam:Operophtera brumata OBRT01_Sc09896, whole genome shotgun sequence.
CGUUCUAUGGCCGAACUGGUGAAGGCUUCGCCAGGCGAAGAUGCGGGUUCGAGUCCCGCUGGAACGG